AGUUAUUAAAAAGCUGUAGAUGUUCAAUAUAGACCACAACUUGGGAUUCAUUACAUAGCCAGGCUACAAUUAAUAGGCACUAAGGUUUAUUUAGGCAAGUUUUAUUAGGUUAAUGAUAUUUACAAUUGUGGUAGACUGAUGGGCCCCCAAAGAUGUCCAUGUUCUAUACCCCUGAAGUUGUGAAUGUUAUCUUACAUGGCAAAAGGGACUCUGCAGAUGUGAUUAAAUCAGGGUUCUUGAGAUGAGAUUGUCCUGGAUUAUCCAUGUGGGCCCAAAGUAACCACAGGGUCUUUCUACAAGGGAGGCAGGAGGGUCACAUUGAGCAGAGAUGUGAUGAUGGAAGCAGAGGUGAGAGAGAUUUAAGGAUGCUAAACGGCUGGGCUUGAUGAUGGAGGAAGGGGCCACAAGUGAAGAAAUGCAGGCAGCCUCUAAAAACUGGAAAAGGAACAUUCUCCCCUAGAGCCUCCAAGAAGAAUGCAGCCCUGGCAACAUCUUGAUUUCGUGACUUCUGGCUUCCAGAACUGAAAACCUGAGGAUAACAACAGGAUACCCUAACAGGUAGUCCCUAAGCCUGGAUCCUGAACACAGCUUCCCACACAUGAGACAAACCUGUCACCCAUCUACCACCAGAAAUCAGCUCUAAAUCUCCAGUGGUAGGCACCACCUUCUGGGAAACACUUGUGUGGGCGAAGCAUGAUAAAAGCCUGAGGAACGCGAUACUUGGAGGAAAUUGCCAAGUUUCUAGAAGAACACUUGGGUUAUCAUCAUUAUUCUGUUUCAUCUUUUUACCCCCCAUGGUGCCUAGGCACGAAACUUCGUA